CCGAGUUUACAACUCCCAAACCCCUGUGAACAUACCAAUUGUUGCCUCGGCGGAUCAGCCCGCUCCCGGUAAAACGGGACAGCCCGCCAGAGGACCCCUAAACUCUGUUUCUAUAUGUAACUUCUGAGUAAAACCAUAAAUAAAUCA
rnacentral:misc_RNA from 1 species